rnacentral:rRNA from 1 species
CAGGAUGAACGCUAGCUACAGGCUUACACAUGCAAGUCGAGGGGAAACGAUGAGAGAGCUUGCUCUCUCAGGCGUCGACCGGCGCACGGGUGAGUAACACGUAUCCAACCUGCUUUUCCAGGGAAUAACCUUGCGAAAGUAAGACUAAUGCCCUAUGUGUCCUCAGACGGCAUCAGACGAGGACGAAAGAUUUAUCGGAAGAGGAUGGGGAUGCGCCUGAUUAGGCAGUUGGCGGGGCAACGGCCCACCAAACCGACGAUCAGUAGGGGUUCUGAGAGGAAGGUCCCCCACAUUGGAACUGAGACACGGUCCAAACUCCUACGGGAGGCAGCAGUGAGGAAUAUUGGUCAAUGGACGAGAGUCUGAACCAGCCAAGUAGCGUGCAGGAUGACGGCCCUAUGGGUUGUAAACUGCUUUUGUACGGGGAUAAAGUCAACUACGUGUAGUUGUUUGCAGGUACCGCAAGAAUAAGGACCGGCUAAUUCCGUGCC